AAAGGGUCAGCCAUUGCCAAAAUUUGGUGAAUGGGAUGUCAACGAUCCUGCCUCAGCCGAGGGAUUUACUGUGAUCUUUAACAAGGCAAGGGACGAGAAGAAAACAGGUGGCCACCCGAGUCACCAGAAAGGCUGAUCCUCAUGCUAAGCCUGGAGCAGAACCUGGCAAAACCCAACCUAAAAAAUGGUUUUGCUGCGUUCAAGUCCCAGCUGCGGAAUCUUGACGAAACCCUACUCACAUAAGACUACUUCCACAAGUAUGUUAAAGCCCCACCAUAUAUUCCUGAACAAGAUAGGAUCUCUAGGGCUUGGCCUUCUAGAUUUCCUUUUUUGUGGUGUAUGAUCUAAUUCUGGGGGGAAGAAGUAAACAAGACAAACACUUACUGUAUCUAUGUAUAUUGAUUUGGUGGAUUGUUAUGACAAACUGUGUUAUUUUAUU